rnacentral:rRNA from 1 species
UACGUAGGGGGCAAGCGUUAUCCGGAUUUACUGGGUGUAAAGGGAGCGUAGACGGCAGAGCAAGUCUGAAGUGAAAGCCCGCGGCCCAACUGCGGGACUGCUUUGGAAACUGCCCGGCUAGAGUGCUGGAGAGGUAAGCGGAAUUCCUAGUGUAGCGGUGAAAUGCGUAGAUAUUAGGAGGAACACCAGUGGCGAGGGCGGCUUACUGGACAGUAACUGACGUUGAGGCUCGAAAGCGUGGGGAGCAAACAGG